rnacentral:rRNA from 1 species
AACGAACGCUGGCGGCAGGCCUAACACAUGCAAGUCGAGCGAGCAUUUCGGUGCUAGCGGCGGACGGGGGAGUAACGCGUGGGAACGUGCCCUUUUCUGCGGAAUAGUCCUGGGAAACUGGGGGUAAUACCGCAUACGCCCUUUUGGGGAAAGAUUUAUCGGAGAAGGAUCGGCCCGCGUUGGAUUAGGUAGUUGGUGGGGUAAUGGCCCACCAAGCCGACGAUCCAUAGCUGGUCUGAGAGGAUGAUCAGCCACACUGGGACUGAGACACGGCCCAGACUCCUACGGGAAGCAGCAGUGGGGAAUCUUAGACAAUGGGGGCAACCCUGAGCUAGCCAUGCCGCGUGAGUGAUGAAGGCCUUAGGGUUGUAAAGCUCUUUCAGCUGGGAAGAUAAUGACGGUACCAGCAGAAGAAGCCCCGGCUAACUCCGUG